ACGAGCCACACGAACGUUAUUCGGAAUUACUGGGCUUAAAGGGUGCGUAGGCUGCGCGGAAAGUUGGGUGUGAAAUCCCUCGGCUCAACCGAGGAACUGCGCCCAAAACUACCGUGCUCGAGGAAGAUAGAGGUAAGCGGAACUUACGGUGGAGCGGUGAAAUGCGUUGAUAUCGUAAGGAACACCUGUGGCGAAAGCGGCUUACUGGGUCUUUUCUGACGCUGAUGCACGAAAGCUAGGGGAGCAAACGGGA
rnacentral:rRNA from 1 species